GCCCUUUCCACCUUUGAUUGGCAAAGCUAUCCAUGCUUUUACUGAUUUUUUCUAAGUGCCAAAAGAUUGGAAGGUGGAGUUUGGAACUCUUGCAGAUGAGUUUUUUUUUUUCUAUUCUUGCUAAAAUCCUAGAUUGGGAGGGUUUUAGGAACUUGGAGAUUUUGUAUAUCCUUGUUUACGUGUAGGCAGACAUGCAUUGAUGCGUAUAGAGGAUUUUUCUAGUGGUGCAUUGUACGAUGAGCUAGAACUAAGGGGCCGGGGAAGAUGGAGCGAACGUGAGAGCUCCUGUGCCUACGACCUGCAUCUGUAGCUACACAAUGCUUGGAUCGCUGCUCAUCGUUUUUAUCCCACAACAUUUGCCAGACUACCACACUUCACUCAUGAAAUCCAUAUUUUGUCCUACAGUGCCCGGUGGCUCUCUAGGUUGAUUAAUUUAAAGCAACACAAACUGUUUUCAACUCUCUAGGUUGAUGAAUUGAGAUCGAUUACAUAGAGGCUAGCUCUUGUUAUUAUUUUUGUAAGGUAGAGUCAACUACCAUUCCAAACAUAUAGGGUUGCAUCAUCGAGUGGCUUUGGGUAAAAGACGACGGCGCGAGCAUUUAGGUUUGCAAGAGAGACAGUUCGCCCUGCACACAUCCUGCCUCUGAUAACAGUUGGGUUCAUCCAUAGUCAAGCAGCAGUAGCAGACCUUAAAGUGUGUACAAGUAUCCCGCUCGCAAAAUGUUAUUGUAAAAUCACUCUGAUCAGUCCCAUUGGAUGAUGGUGAUGAUGUUGAACUUGCAGCCUCAAGCAGAUGAUGAUGACCUGCCGCAAUAUUUUAGUAUUUAUAAUCAGCAUUUUGCAUAUAUAUAUAUAUAUAUAUAUAUAUAUAUAUAUAUAUAUAUAUUGAUGAAAAGAUAUGAUGUGUAUGAUGAUAAUAAAUAGAGGUGAGAACUGCUUACACAUCACAGGCGAUGCAUAUGCAAUCAACAAAAGGUACACUAGGAUGCCAUAACACCUACCCCUCAUAUUUGUAUUGUAGGCGAACCUAAAUGCUAUAGUUUGCAUAGCCUAUGUAUAGGUGAUUUAUAGCUAUAUAUAUAGACAGAGAGCGCUGGUGCCAUGAAUCAUGACUACAUUGCACGAGCUAUGUAUAUGGAAAAUAAUAUAUACAAGUAGGUUCUUGCUAUAUAUGGUGCCCGUUAGAUGUGAUUAAAAAAGAUGACCUAUUACCAUCUAGGAGUUAAUAGACCACUCUAUUCUUUAUUUAGAAAUAUUUUAUGGAAAAAGAAGUAACUCCCUCUGCAAUUGAUAUUUUCUUUAACAAAUGUUUCUUAAUUUUAUAAUUGAUAUUUUCUUUGUAAUCAACAGCUAAGAUUUAAUUCAUAUCUUGUUUAUCUAUAGAGGAAAAGGUGUACCAUAGCAAGGCUUGUGGGAGUAUGUGUACCAUGGGCAUGUUAACCCUUUUAUCAUCCAUGUGACAUAAUCUAUAUAUCUAUAUCUCAUACAUAUAAAUAGCUAAUCUCUACUACAACAACAUACUAGACAUCCACACCUUCUCCCACUAAUAGUCAUGUCAUGUCGUUAACUUUCAACCUUUUAAUACAAGGUAUUCAUGUCAUCUUCACUUUUUUUUCAAAAUUAUUUGCAAUCCCUAUAGCAACGUGUGACUAUAUAUAUAUAUAUAUAUAUAUAUAUAUAAUUCAUACUCUAAGGGGUUACAUAUCAAGUUCCAAGGGGUUUGAAACAAUUUUUCAUUCUUGAGUAAAAAACACAGCACCAAAUUAACACACAUGAAUCUUCAAUCAAAUCAAACGACAAUGAAUCACAAUCUACAAGUUAAUUAUGGUGAUCGAAACUGAUGAAUUGAGAACUGAGAAUGAUUACAUAGAGACUAGCUAUUGUUAUCCCACGACAUCUGCCACACUUCACUCCUGAAGUCUACAUUUUAUCCUAUAGUGUCCGGUGGCUCUCUAGGUUGAUUAAUUUAAAGC
rnacentral:lncRNA from 1 species